rnacentral:rRNA from 1 species
CGGGACGGGUGAGUAACGCGUGGGUAACCUGCCUCACACAGGGGGAUAACAGUUAGAAAUGACUGCUAAUACCGCAUAACCCGAUAGGAUCGCAUGAUCCAGGCGGAAAAGAUUUAUCGGUGUGAGAUGGACCCGCGUCUGAUUAGCUAGUUGGUGAGGUAACGGCCCACCAAGGCGACGAUCAGUAGCCGGCCUGAGAGGGUGAACGGCCACAUUGGGACUGAGACACGGCCCAA